rnacentral:rRNA from 1 species
UGGGGAAUAUUGCGCAAUGGGCGAAAGCCUGACGCAGCAACACCGCGUGAGGGAUGACGGCCUUCGGGUUGUAAACCUCUUUCAGCUCCGACGAAGCGAAAGUGACGGUAGGAGCAGAAGAAGCACCGGCUAACUACGUGCCAGCAGCCGCGGUAAUACGUAGGGUGCAAGCGUUGUCCGGAAUUAUUGGGCGUAAAGAGCUCGUAGGCGGUUCGGUAAGUCGGGUGUGAAAACUCUGGGCUCAACCCAGAGAGGCCACUCGAUACUGCUGUGACUAGAGUGCGGUAGGGGAGCGGGGAAUUCCUGGUGUAGCGGUGAAAUGCGCAGAUAUCAGGAGGAACACCAGUGGCGAAGGCGCCGCUCUGGGCCGUAACUGACGCUGAGGAGCGAAAGCAUGGGUAGCAAACAGGAUUAGAUACCCUGGUAGUCCAUGCCGUAAACGUUGGGCACUAGGUGUGGGUCUCAACCAACGAGAUCCGCGCCGUCGCUAACGCAUUAAGUGCCCCGCCUGGGGAGUAC